rnacentral:rRNA from 1 species
AUUGAACGCUGGCGGCAUGCCUAAUACAUGCAAGUCGAACGGACACACGCUGAGCUUUCUCCUCUAACGGUGGCGGCGGGCGGAUGGGUAACGCAUGGAUCACCUCCCUAUAGUUCUGUGAUAACUACGGUAGCCCAUACCUCAUACCAGCUAAUAUAGUAAACCGGAUAGUGCAAUGGUUCAAGAGAUUUUUGCUGUCACUGUUAGAUGAAGCGGUGUCUGAUUAGCUAGUUGGUAAGGUAAAGGCUCACCAAGGCAACGAUGCGUAGCUGGUCUGAGAGGAUAAUCAGCCACACUGGAACUGAGACACGGUCCAGACUCCUACGGGAGGCAGCAGUGGGGAAUUUUGGACAAUGGGCGCAAGCCUGAUCCAGCAAUGCCGCGUGCGUGAAGAAGGCCUUCGGGUUGUAAACCGCUUUUAUUAGGAACGAAAAGGCGCUGGUUAAUACCCGGGGGUAUUGACGGUACCGUAAGAAUAAGCACCGGCUAACUACGUG